rnacentral:rRNA from 1 species
CCUACGGGUGGCAGCAGUGGGGGAUAUUGCACAAUGGGGGAAACCCUGAUGCAGCGACGCCGCGUGUGGGAAGACGGUCCUCUGGAUUGUAAACCACUGUCCCCAGGGACGAAGAUGACGGUACCUGGGGAGGAAGCUCCGGCUAACUAUGUGCCAGCAGCCGCGGUAAUACGUAGGGAGCGAGGGUUGUCCGGAAUUACUGGGUGUAAAGGGAGCGUAGGCGGGGAUGCAAGGUGGGUGUCAAAACUACCGGCUAAACUGGAAGGCGCACCCAAAACUGCAGCUCUUGAGUGAAGUAGAGGCAGGCGGAAUUCGUAGUGUAGCGGUGAAAUGCGUAGAUAUUAGGAGGAACACCAGUGGCGAAGGCGGCCUGCGGGGCUUUUACUGACGCUGAGGCUCGAAAGUGUGGGGAGCAAACAGGAUUAGAUACCCCUGUAGUC